UACAGAGACUGCAAGCGUUAUUCGGAUUCACUGGGCGUAAAGGGUGCGCAGGCGGUCGGGUGUGUCAGAUGUGAAAUCCCGAGGCUCAACCUCGGAACUGCGUCUGAAACUACUCGACUAGAGUACUGGAGAGGGUAACGGAAUUCACGGUGUAGCAGUGAAAUGCGUAGAUAUCGGGAGGAACACCUGUGGCGAAGGCGGCCCCCUGGUUGGAUACUGGCGCUGAUACGCGAAAGCGUGGGGAGCAAACAGG
rnacentral:rRNA from 1 species